rnacentral:rRNA from 1 species
AGGGAAUCUUCCACAAUGGACGGAAGUCUGAUGGAGCAACGCCGCGUGAAGGAUGAAGGUUUUCGGAUUGUAAACUUCUUUAGUCAGGGACGAAUAAAUGACGGUACCUGAAGAAUAAGCCACGGCUAACUACGUGCCAGCAGCCGCGGUAAUACGUAGGUGGCGAGCGUUGUCCGGAAUUACUGGUUGUAAAGGGCGUGUAGGCGGGAAUGUAAGUCAGAUGUGAAAUCCCAGGGCUUAAACUCUGGAGCUGCAUCUGAAACUAUGUUUCUUGAGUGUCGGAGAGGAAAGCGGAAUUCCUAGUGUAGCGGUGAAAUGCGUAGAUAUUAGGAGGAACACCAGCGGCGAAGGCGGCUUUCUGGUCUGCAACUGACGCUGAGGCGCGAAAGCAUGGGGAGCAAACA